GUGAUAGCAGCAGCCCACGCUGCAGACUGCUGCCAGCUCCGGUUUGGCCACAAACAUCCGCAGGGUGCUGGGAGCCAGGUCGCCGCACGUGUGCAGGCCGACCACGACGGCGUCCUCCAGGGUGGAGGUAGCACGCACGGAAAGAAGAGAAGGAAAGAAGCAGAGGAGAGGAAGGAGAUCGAUGGUGAACUUUAUUGAUGAUGACGCGCCUGCACAUUCGGCGCUGCGGUCGCAUCCCACGCUCACCGCGGUGAUGCAAACUCCAGCUGCGGUGACAGACGUGUAAUCUCAGGAGCUGCCCGGCCCUCCUGUCUGCACCGUCACCCGACACGCACUAAAUCUAUUUCCAACAUUUUACUUUUGGACUCGUUUGCGUCUGCUCACCUCCAGCUCGUCGAUGAGCUCUCGCAGCUCCGUGUCGGCGGUGACGUACGACGUGAGCGGCGAAAACACGGUGGCGGCGCUCUCGCCUCUGUUCAGGGCCUUCCUCUCCAGGUUCUCCCUCUUCCUCCUCUCCCUCUCCUUCUCGCUCAGCUGGCUGGGGGGAACUCUGGGGGAUGUAGUCUCUAUCACGUCCACUGACAGGGCGCUAAGGAAGAGCUCGUCGGUUCCUGGGUUUGUUGUGGGGCUGACAUCUGAUAAUACAGGGUUUCUUUCCACUUCUAACUCCACCUGAAGUGACAGCGCGGCCUCCGAACGUGCCCUCGCCGCCUUGCUGUGGUUCUGGUAAACUCUGGAGAACUUCUUCAGCUUCCUGUUCCUCUCCUGGGCACCGUGGGUGUUGGUGCUGGAGGAGUCGAUGCCGUAGACCCGGAGACCGUACCGCAGCGACAGGAAGGAACUCAGGUAGCCCUUCCCCGAGCCCACAUCUAUCACCUGGGUGGGAGGAGAAAAGAUGGGAGGAGAAAUUAAUUCCUGAAUUGGGGUAAUACGGCUAAACUCUCCCAGUUUACAGUUGUAUGAUUUGACCUGUUUGACUCCGCAGCGCUGGGCCAAACAGGCCACCACCUCAGACAUGGCCUGGACCUCAUGAGAUUUUUUGGAGUUCAUGAACUCAUCUGUUUCCAGCUCAGCACCUGGAGAAAAAGUGCAACAUAUGGGUUAGGGUUAUGUCCUGUUCUUUUACAUAAGUCCCAGAUCCAUUCUGGGUAUGUUCAUACCUUCGUCGCUCCUUCCUGUCUCUGCGGGUGCAGCGCCCCCCUCAGGCCCGGUCCCUCUGAGGCCCUGCAGCAGCUCCUCCCUGCUCCAGCACACUCCGAGGCCUGGGAGCGAGUGGGCCCUGGCCGCCCGCAGGAGUUCAUGGAUGUCGACCAGUCGAUUUGUUUCACAGCAAAAUCCAAACGUGGUCCUGGGCGGAUCUGUUUGGGAAGACAGGCACAGAAACAUCAGCAAAGUUGCACAAAACUGGAUUUAACCAUGUAGAUAUUGUAGACUUAAACUUAAAGUAAAAUUUGCAUUCAUACGAAUAAUUGAAAUAAUGUAAAGGAUUUGUUAAUUAUCUAAUACAAAGAACUUUAAGCAUUGAUUUAAUGUUUAACAGCAGCUUCAAAAUGACGUGGUUACAGCUGGAUGAUCCACUGACCUCAGUAGGAAUGUGUCUUUCUGACUUAUUGAUUCAUUGUCUAGUAUGUGCACCAUUUGCCUUGCAUCCCAAAAGUGUCUGUAAAUAUAAAAUAAAAAUAAUGUCAAAAUUGUCAUUUAACAAUAUAUACUUAAAUAUUAAAUGAAAUAUUGUAUCAAAUCAUUUAUAAAUAAGGCAAUGUAAUAUACUUAAAUGUUUUAUAAAAUAAUACAUGAAAUAAAUCAUAAAGAAAUGUA